rnacentral:rRNA from 1 species
GUGAGGAAUUUUGCGCAAUGGCCGCAAGGCUGACGCAGCAACGCCGCGUGGGUGAUGAAGGCCUUCGGGUCGUAAAGCCCUGUCAGGUGGGAAGAAAGGCCUGGAGAGGAAAUGUUUCAGGUUUGACGGUACCACCAGAGGAAGCACCGGCUAACUCCGUGCCAGCAGCCGCGGUAAUACGGAGGGUGCGAGCGUUAUUCGGAAUUACUGGGCGUAAAGCGCGUGUAGGCGGGGGGACAAGUCUGAUGUGAAAGCCCUGGGCUUAACCUGGGAAGUGCAUUGGAAACUGUUUUUCUUGAGUACUGGAGAGGAAGGGGGAAUUCCCGGUGUAGAGGUGAAAUUCGUAGAGAUCGGGAGGAAUACCAGUGGCGUAGGCGCCCUUCUGGACGGUAACUGACGCUGAGACGCGAAAGCGUGGGGAGCAAACAGGAUUAGAAACCCGUGUAGUCC